rnacentral:rRNA from 1 species
AACUAGUGUCGGGGAUUCAUUUCCUUGGUAACGCAGCUAACGCGUGAAGUUGACCGCCUGGGGAGUACGGCGCAAGGUUAAACUCAAAGGAAUUGACGGGGACCCGCACAAGCGGUGGAUGAUGUGGAUUAAUUCGAUGCAACGCGAAAAACCUUACUGCGCUUGACAUGCCAGGAACCCUCCAGAGAUGGAGGGGUGCCCGAAAGGGAGCCUGGACACAGGUGCUGCAUGGCUGUCGUCAGCUCGUGUCGUGAGAUGUUGGGUUAAGUCCCGCAACGAGCGCAACCCUUAUCCUUAGUUGCUACGCAAGGGCACUCUAGGGAGACUGCCGGUGACAAACCGGAGGAAGGUGGGGAUGACGUCAAGUCCUCAUGGCCCUUAUGCGCAGGGCUUCACACGUCAUACAAUGGUCGGUACAGAGGGCAGCCAACCCGCGAGGGGGAGCCAAUCCCAGAAAACCGAUCGUAGUCCGGAUUGCAGUCUGCAACUCGACUGCAUGAAGUCGGAAUCGCUAGUAAUCGCGGAUCAGAAUGUCGCGGUGAAUACGUUCCCGGGUCUUGUACACACCGCCCGUCACACCAUGGGAGUGGGUUCUACCAGAAGCGGGUAGCCUAACCGCAAGGAGGGCGCUUGCCACGGUAGGGCUCAUGACUGGGGUGAAGUCGUAACAAGGUAACCGUAA